rnacentral:rRNA from 1 species
CGGGACGGGUGAGUAAUGUCUGGGAAACUGCCUGAUGGAAGGGGAUAACUACUGGAAACGGUAGCUAAUACCGCAUAACGUCGCAAGACCAAAGAGGGGGACCUUCGGGCCUCUUGCCAUCGGAUGUGCCCAGAUGGGAUUAGCUAGUAGGUGGGGUAACGGCUCACCUAGGCGACGAUCCCUAGCUGGUCUGAGAGGAUGACCAGCCACACUGGAACUGAGACACGGUCCAG